UACGUAGGGUGCAAGCGUUUAUCCGGAAUUAUUGGGCGUAAAGAGCUCGUAGGCGGUUUGUCGCGUCUGCUGUGAAAACUGGGGGCUCAACCCCCCAGCCUGCAGUGGGUACGGGCAGACUAGAGUGCGGUAGGGGAGAUUGGAAUUCCUGGUGUAGCGGUGGAAUGCGCAGAUAUCAGGAGGAACACCGAUGGCGAAGGCAGAUCUCUGGGCCGUAACUGACGCUGAGGAGCGAAAAGCAUGGGGGAGCGAACAGG
rnacentral:rRNA from 1 species